ACUUUUCUUUGUGUAAAUUAUAAGACAGAAACUUCUCCACAAUCCUAAAUCAUCAUCAACUUAAUAUCCUUCUCCUCCUUCCUCCAUUAUAUCAUUGUAGAAAUGCUCAAUAAAUAACCAUAUGGGCGUCUUCCAUCCAUCUCCCUUGAUAUCAUCGAUCCCCCAAUGUGUUUGUGUUCUUUACAUUACUGUUUGUGAUUAUUAUUAUGUUAAUUUUAUAUUUUAUGAUGUACAGGCCGGUGAUGAUCAUGAUUGAUAUUAUUUAAUGUAUUUGCCAACAUCGUUUGAUCAUUUAUCAUGAUAUCUAAUUUGACGAUCCCUCUGUCUGAGGCCUGAUUUUUCGUUUUCAUUUCCAUAUCUGAUAUAUAUCAUUCGAAUAUUUAUUUAUUUGAAUUCACACUCUACUUCAAGGAAAAAAAAACAUCAAAUUAAAUACUGUCUCUUUCUCACCGACAAUUCUACAAAAAAAAAACCCUCUCAAUUUUCUUAUCUUUGUAGUCAUAGCUUAGCAAGGAAAAGUCUCCUUUUGGAAGCGUUGUCUCAAGAAGGUAGGAACUGGAUGUACUGCUAUGGCUGAAAUGAGGUUUAGCAGAGAGACAGAGAUUCAAGAUGGAGCUUUUGUUGAAAAGAUUGGCGCUAAGAAAGAGAGAUGUGUACUUUCACUCAAACAUUCUUACUAACUCUCUCUUUCUUUCUUCCUCUCUUUGGUUACUUGCUCUUUGAUUACUUACUCUGAUUUGUUUUGCUUAGUUUACAAAUGAGAAUCACACCUCCUAUUUAUAGACAUGAAUUUCUUGAAGCCUGAGUUAAAAGACUCUCUAAAAUUAUACAUAUUAUAAAUAUUUAUUUACAUAAUUCUAGAUAUUUCUCUUAUCCUUAUCUAAAAGAAUUCUAAGAAUUCUUUAUCCUAAAAAUUUAGGAUAAUUAUAGAAAGUUACUAUACUCAUUUAAUACGCCUCAAGAAGAUUCUAGUUAGUGUUUGUUGAAAUUUGUUGAUGAACUAUCUUCUAUAAGAGGCCUUCAAUUUUUCUGCACUUGUUAAAGAAAUGAAAUAAAUCAGUUACAACUACUUUUUUGUUAGAAUAGGAGUUACAAAAUAACGAGUCUUAUAGCGGAGUCUUAUAGCGGCCUUAAUGAGAAAAUAUACAUAAUAAAUUUAAGGAGAUGUAAUAUGAAAAAUAUGUUCAUUUGUCUUGAAUCUAUUUUUCCAGAAAGAAUGUUGAAUAAAAGAAUUUUUACCUCUAAAGAGUGGAUGUAGGCUAUGUGUUGAACCACUAUAAACAUCAUCUUGUUCUCUCUCGGUGAACCAUGCAAAUCACAAAAAGAAAUACAAUGAAAGGAAAGUUGACAGCUUGCAAAGGAGUUGAAAAUGUAAGAGAAAAUUAAAGGGGCAAAAAGUUCUCAUAGAGAGAUGCCUACAUUAUCGUUGGAUGUUCAUUUCGGAGUUGCUCACGAUCGUGGUUGAUUCAUCAAGCCUUCGCCCCAAUUAUUGCCUCACCGAGAAAAUUGAAGGAGAAAAUAUGAAGAAGGUGAAGAGAAGAUAAUAACUUUUGUAGUUGGGAUGAUUUGAUUGUCAAUGAACACAUAUAAAUGACUCUUCAACCUAUUUUUGCAAACUCAAUUAUCAACUAGAUGAUUUUCACCACCAAGUUUUUGCUCUUAUUUUUAUUUAUUUUGUAGUCAUAUGUAUCACAAUUUGCCAAUCUUGAUCCGAUAAUUUAGCAGAUAUUUUACAUA